AGAAGGUAGGGGACAAGGCAAGUGACCGAAUAAGAGUAGAACCUCGGCAAGGCUUACCCAUCACACUCUGAAUGUGCUGACCCGUGGGAUUUCCCCAAAUGAGGGAAACUCAACUGCAUAAUUUGAGAUAGGA
rnacentral:snRNA from 1 species